GUGACCCCAGGAUGGGCGAGGCCAC
rnacentral:rRNA from 1 species